UACGAAGGGGGCUAGCGUUGCUCGGAAUCACUGGGCGUAAAGCGCACGUAGGCGGAUCUUUAAGUCAGGGGUGAAAUCCCGGAGCUCAACUCCGGAACUGCCUUUGAUACUGAGGGUCUCGAGUUCGGGAGAGGUGAGUGGAACUGCGAGUGUAGAGGUGAAAUCCGUAGAUAUUCGCAAGAACACCAGUGGCGAAGGCGGCUCACUGGCCCGAUACUGACGCUGAGGUGCGAAAGCGUGGGGAGCGAUCCGG
rnacentral:rRNA from 1 species